UACGUAGGGUGCGAGCGUUAAUCGGAAUUACUGGGCGUAAAGCGUGCGCAGGCGGUUAGCCGUGUCCGAUGUGAAAGCCCCGGGCUCAACCUGGGAAUGGCAUUGGAAACUGGCUGGCUGGAGUGUGGCAGAGGGGGGUGGAAUUCCACGUGUAGCAGUGAAAUGCGUAGAGAUGUGGAGGAACGCCGAUGGCGAAGGCAGCCCCCUGGGCCAACACUGACGCUCAGGCACGAAAGCGUGGGGAGCAAACAGG
rnacentral:rRNA from 1 species